rnacentral:lncRNA from 1 species
GUGUUUUCCAUUAAAAUUGUACUCGAGGAGGAAGUAUCCUAUGGGAAGAGCACACACCUGAGAAUCUAGACUUGUAGCCCAGUUACCAUUUGAAACUCAGAAAUUCUGCAACCUUGGAAGAAUCUGGCCAGAGGCUACUCCUGGCAUCUCUUUGCCUUCAUUGAGGAAGAACAGAUUGUGUGGAGUAUUUGAACUACUGAAACUACCCACCAUGGAGGAGGAGCAAUUCCUCCAAAGGAAACACAAGGUGCUGACUGGAUUUGAGGAUGGGCACUAGGCCAUCAAUAUCAACAAGAUUCCCCGACAGCAUUGGAGACUGGUUUCUACAUCUGAUACUGGUACUUGCCAUGUAAAUUACUCUACUCCUCCAAGUCUAAUGUAACAUGAGGGUGAUAAUAAACCCAACUCCACAG